AGCGAACGCUGGCGGCAGGCUUAACACAUGCAAGUCGAGCGGGCACUUUCGGGUGUCAGCGGCGGACGGGUGAGUAACGCGUGGGAACGUGCCCUCUGGUUCGGAAUAACUCAGGGAAACUUGAGCUAAUACCGGAUACGCCCUCUUGGGGAAAGGCUUGCUGCCGGAGGAUCGGCCCGCGUCUGAUUAGCUAGUUGGUGAGGUAACGGCUCACCAAGGCGACGAUCAGUAGCUGGUCUGAGAGGAUGAUCAGCCACACUGGGACUGAGACACGGCCCAGACUCCUACGGGAGGCAGCAGUGGGGAAUAUUGGACAAUGGGCGCAAGCCUGAUCCAGCCAUGCCGCGUGAGUGAUGAAGGCCUUAGGGUCGUAAAGCUCUUUUAUCCGGGACGAUAAUGACGGUACCGGAGGAAUAAGCCCCGGCUAACUUCGUG
rnacentral:rRNA from 1 species